AAUCAAUACUGAGGGCUUAAGAUGUUUCAGACUUCAGACUAAGUGCAGGGAUGUGCAGUAUUAUAAAUAAAGCCAGGCCAGGCGUGGUGGCUCAUGCCUGUAAUCCAGCACUUUGGGAAGCCAAGGUGGGCAGAUUGCUUGAGGCCAGGAGUUCGAGACCAGCCUGGGCAACGUGGUAAAAACCAGUCUCUACUAAAAAUGCAAAAAUUAGCUGGGUAUAGGGGCACACGCCUGUAAUCCCAGCUACUGGAGAGGCUGAGGCAAGAGAAUUACUUAAACAUGGGAGGCGGAGAUUGCAGUGCUGAGAUUGCACCAUUGCACUCCAGCCUGGGUGACAGAGUGAGACCCAGGAGCUUGCAACAUGCACCUCAGAGAACAUGUUGUGUACGGGCUGAAUUGUGCCCUCCUCCCAAUUAAUAUGCUUAGGUCCUAACCCCUAGUAUCUCAGAAUGUGACACGGUCUUUGAAAAGGUAAUUAAGGUAAAAUGAGAGGCAAAGAAAAGUUCCAUUCAAGAAAAGACGGUACCAUAGGGAGUAAGAGGAUGUACUGCAGGAAGUUACAUUGGUGCUAGAUUGAGGGGGGCCACAUCUGCCUAAGGACCAUGUGCUUCACUCUAUAAGAGCAGGAGGCCUCUGAAUGUGAAUGCUCAAGCUGGUAGGGACCAUGGUGUUCAUCUGGUCUUCCAUCUUAAUUUUGUGGAUAAGAACACCGGGGCACAGAACAGCUAAAUACGUGACUUGCCCAAGGCCACAGGGCUAAUAAGCCACAGGGCAGCCUUGAAUGCUGCCCUCCUGCUAUUUUUUCUAUAGCAAUGGAGAAGAGAAGGGAGGGAGAAGGAAACAGAGGAAGACCGGAGUAGUGGUGGUCAGAAUGAAAAAGGAAAAAGGAAUCAAAGUAAGAGGUGGUGCAAAGGGAGCACAAUAGGCCUCUGCCUUUGGGAGGCAGGUGGUACAAGGAAUGGGGAGGAGUCCCAGGGGAUUCUACACUCCAGCCCAGGAGAAGGGUGCUGCCACGUCCAAUCCAGCAGCGAUGUUAUUAAGCACAGGUGGAGCCUGUUCAAUCUCUAAUCAGAAGAAAUAAAAUGGGACAUGACCAAGGAGAGAUGUCUGCUCAGAGCAGAGAUUUACCUGCUUGAUUACACCUGCUUUUGAAAACAGGGAGCUACUGGCCCCAGAAUCGCAAUUCUAGUCCAUGUCCCCCUGGAGCUAACAGGCUAAUGCCCAGCCAACCUGUCCAUCCAGAGAAUCCUAUCAAGGCACCCCAUGGUAGCACACUUGGGGUGUGUUUCAAGAUGCCACUUGAAAAUUCUGGUUGGGAGAGUCUCACUAAACAGCCAAGUAUUAUUUUUUUUUGAGACUUAAAAAAAUUUCUUGAUAAAUGCUCAGUGGUCAUUAAAGUAGUCCAACCACACACAAACAUAUCACUGUCUGCUGCUAAGUAGGUAAGGAAAACCAUGCAUGUCAGAGGCAUUUUCCUUUUAGCCACAAUUUAAAGGUAGUUCUCCUCCUUUGGCAGCCUGUUUGUGAACUUCCAUCUCUGCAUGGCUGGUUUUAAAAGCCAUUUCAGAAAAAUAAAGUGCAAAUUUAAAAGGUAAGACAAAUGCUCCAUCCACCCUCAUUUUUAACUUUCAGUACAGAACUCCAUGGCUGAUUAAUUUGUUCUGGGUAAAAGGAGGAGGGGUGCUGGGUGCAGGGGGAGGUAAAGAUGCAUGACUGGGACCAGCAGACACCUAAACUGACAGAACCAGGAUAAAGGAGCUGCAACCAGAGAUAAUAGCAACAACAUCCACGACCCUCCUCCCAGCUUGGAGAGAAGCUCAUGCUCUAAAUUAGCCACAAUCAGCAUGUCAUUCCAGCUGCCCAGCUCCCUUCAGUCCUAGGCAACAAGACCUCCCCUCCCCUAGAGAGUAUUACGGGAGAGUUAAGGAUACAUGCAAUAUGCUGCAUAAGCAUUUAUGCAGUGGUGUAGUUGGCAUCAUGAUUAUGGUCCUCCACAAUCAUGCUCAGUAAAUCGGCAAGAGAAAGUGCUGUGGAGCAGGUAGGGCUGGAGAGUGGCCUCAGGAGAGGCUGGGAAGCUUUUCUGGUGCUACAGGGCUCACUCUCUCAAUCAGGUGGCAAAUAAACUGACUUAAGCCCACCUUUAACACACAACUGGCCUGGAAGGGCAAUGGAGGAUGGAUGCACCCACCCAUCUAUCCAUCCAUUCACCCAUCCCACCCAUCCACUCACCCAUCUAUCCAUGCACCCAUCCAUUAUC
rnacentral:lncRNA from 1 species